UACGUAGGGACCAAGCGUUUGUUCGGAUUUACUGGGCGUAAAGGGCGCGUAGGCGGCAAUUCAAGUCAGUUGUGAAAUCUCCGAGCUUAACUCGGAACGGUCAACUGAUACUGUUUUGCUAGAGUACAGAAGGGGCAAUCGGAAUUCUUGGUGUAGCGGUGAAAUGCGUAGAUAUCUGGAGGAACACCGGUGGCGAAGGCGGCAUCCUGGACCGGCAUUGACGCUGAGGCGCGAAAGCCAGGGGAGCAA
rnacentral:rRNA from 1 species